GGGAAGGUGGCUCAGUGGUAGAGUGCUUGCCUUGCAUGCAUGAGACCCUGGAUUCAUUUCCU
rnacentral:tRNA from 1 species